CCUACGGGUGGCAGCAGUGAGGAAUAUUGGUCAAUGGGCGGAAGCCUGAACCAGCCAAGUCGCGUGAGGGAUUAAGGCCCUAUGGGUCGUAAACCUCUUUUGUCAGGGAGCAAUGGCGUCCACGUGUGGGCGUAUGGAGAGUACCUGAAGAAAAAGCAUCGGCUAACUCCGUGCCAGCAGCCGCGGUAAUACGGAGGGGGCAAGCGUUAUCCGGAUUUACUGGGUGUAAAGGGGGCGCAGACGGCAAUGCAAGCCAGGAGUGAAAGCCCGGGGCCCAACCCCGGGACUGCUCUUGGAACUGCAUGGCUGGAGUACAGGAGGGGCAGGCGGAAUUCCUAGUGUAGCGGUGAAAUGCGUAGAUAUUAGGAGGAACACCGGUGGCGAAGGCGGCCUGCUGGACUGUGACUGACGUUGAGGCCCGAAGGCGUGGGGAGCAAACAGGAUUAGAUACCCCUGUAGUC
rnacentral:rRNA from 1 species